rnacentral:rRNA from 1 species
GACGAACGCUGGCGGCGCUCCUAACACAUGCAAGUCGAACGAGCGAGAGAGAGCUUGCUUUCUCAAGCGAGUGGCGAACGGGUGAGUAACGCGUGAGGAACCUGCCUCAAAGAGGGGGACAACAGUUGGAAACGACUGCUAAUACCGCAUAAGCCCACGACCCGGCAUCGGGUUGAGGGAAAAGGAGCAAUCCGCUUUGAGAUGGCCUCGCGUCCGAUUAGCUGGUUGGUGAGGUAACGGCCCACCAAGGCAACGAUCGGUAGCCGGACUGAGAGGUUGAACGGCCACAUUGGGACUGAGACACGGCCCAGACUCCUACGGGAGGCAGCAGUGGGGAAUAUUGCACAAUGGGGGAAACCCUGAUGCAGCGACGCCGCGUGGAGGAAGAAGGUCUUCGGAUUGUAAACUCCUGUUGUUGAGGAAGAUAAUGACGGUACUCAACAAGGAAGUGACGGCUAACUACGUGCCAGCAGCCGCGGUAAAACGUAGGUCACAAGCGUUGUCCGGAAUUACUGGGUGUAAAGGGAGCGCAGGCGGGAAGACAAGUUGGAAGUGAAAUCUAUGGGCUCAACCCAUAAACUGCUUUCAAAACUGUUUUUCUUGAGUAGUGCAGAGGUAGGCGGAAUUCCCGGUGUAGCGGUGGAAUGCGUAGAUAUCGGGAGGAACACCAGUGGCGAAGGCGGCCUACUGGGCACCAACUGACGCUGAGGCUCGAAAGUGUGGGUAGCAAACAGG